rnacentral:lncRNA from 1 species
AGGAGAAAGGAGGAAAUGUGGGCGGAAGAUUGUGGCAGAAGAAGAGAGGGGGGAGAGGAGAGAGCGAGCUACUGGCCGAACCGGCCCAUUGGCGAGGCGCAAGGUAGCUCGCCGAACCGGCCCAUUGGCGAGGCGCAGGCGCUGUCAAUUUCUGGAUUGCGAUCCUCCACCGCAACAUUGCCAUUGCCAUGAUGAAUUAGCAAAAUGAGGACACUGACGAUGACUGGAGAAGCGGAUAACAACAUAUUCUUAUGGAGAGAGGAAGAAGAGAGGAGCUCUAGAUCCCACACAAACCCUACCGGCUUCAAUGUGAGAGGGAGAGAGGGCGGAAGAG